UUUUUUUUUUUUUUUUUUUUGUGCUGCUACACUGCCUGCAGAUUGGUAUAUAUUUGGAUUGUUUGGUUGGUCCAUCUUCUGGAUGCGGCUUUGGGAUCUCAAGUUCAAUUUCCAUUCUUGUUCUGGAAUUAUUCUUUAUAGUUUAUCAAUACUUUCUUCAAAUUAGACUGAAAUGAAAGUUCGCUUUCUUGUUUCCUCAGGGCUUGUUUCUGUCUUCUGUUGGAGAUGGAUAGUAAGCUUGAAUAAGGGAUUUUCUUAGUGGUAGAAAGGAGUUUUCUAUGUCCUUGCAUUAUGUUGGCGUUUUUGCGGUUGAGCUUCUGUUGCGUGUUUCUCUUUUCAUAUUCCUGAACUGGCUUUUCAUUUGCUGUUUCACUGCCUGCAGAUUUGUUUACAGUGGAUUGUUUGGUUGGCCUAACAUCAGAAAGCGGCUAUGGGAUUUCAAUCUUUUCGUGUUCAAUUUCUGUUUCUUGUUCUUGAAUUAUUCGUUGAUACUUAAAAAUACUUCCUUCGCAAGUUGGACUGAAAUGGAAGUUUGUUUUCUUGUUUAUUCAGGGCUUGUUUCUGUCUUCUGUUGGAGAUGGAUUGUAAGCUUGAAUAAGGGGGUUUUUUGGGAUGUUCAAUGAGUAACAUUUAUUUAUGUUAUUAUACAUCUUUAGUGUAGCGGUAGAUUCUGAGUCUAGCUGUGUGGUUUUUUUCAGGAUUCUAUGUAUUGUCUGAAGAAGUUGAUAUAUAGAUCUAUCAGUAAGGCAAACGGUGAACAGGGAGUCUUCUUCCCCCCUUAAUUAGAGCGAUUAUGGUUUCUAGGGAAUGAUAGUAGAAUCUGAAAUGGAUUUACUGAUGUCUUCCCAGGGAUCCACCGACUAAAGAUGUGACUGAUCUAAGAGUCUUGUGAGAGGAUAUCGUUUAAUUUAUAUAGAAACGCUUAUUUACUCUUUUGUUUUCCAUUCGUUUCCGAACUCUAUUCUGAAAUGUAAGCCUUGUUGGAUGAUGUUUUUCCAGGAUCAUUUGUGAAUGGAGAAAUUUAUGGUCUCUGCAUGGAUCAAGAGCAGGAAGUGUUUUAUUUUAUAUUAUGAUUCCACUUUUGAUUAUGGAUAAAAUGAUUUAGUACUCUUGAAAAAUGGAGUCUCAUUGUGUGGUUUGUUACUUGCAGAUGAGUUGAUUAUAUUUUUCUCAGUUUUGUGUCUCUAAGUGAACUUUUUGGUUUCUUCAUUAUUGUUACUUAGCGCGGUUCUUGUUCCCAACAUCCAUGGUUAAUCUUUCAACUUUGUGGGAGUUGAAAUCAAUUGUGGAGAUUUGGUUAUGCUCCUUUUGCAACUUUUGGGAUAUAAGCUCUCGACUGAUGGAGAUUUCUUGAAACUUAUAUCCAUAAUCUUUCCUUUUCAUGUCCUUCCUGCAUGUUUAUGAUCUCUGAGCAUAGAUGGUGUGAUUUUUACAGGAUUCAUUGGUCGCGGAGAAGUGUGUCCCGGUGAAGUGUAGGAAUGAUUUACGCUCUCUCUUUCUAUGUUCGAAUAUUUUAAAAUUCCUGAGUCACUAGCACUUGAGUCUGAAUUUGUAUGUUUGCAGGUCUCUUGGGUCUCACUUGUAUUUGAAGUAUGUGUAUUAACAUCAAUGAGGGAGUGUAUUUCUUUUUGCUGCCCUGAAUUCUUUUUAUUUCCUCUAUUGGACAGUUAUCUGAGUUCUUAUUGUCUCCUUCAUCAGGUCUAUGACUAUUGUUUUUGUUAUGGAGGGAGUAUGAUCUUAUUGUCUUUUCAUUCUGCUCUUGAACUUUUCAGACAGAUCUUAUAAGAAGCUGAAUUGCAACUAUAUUAUGUGCUUUCAGGAUUUUCUGAGAAAUAUGUGGUGGGCUGUCAUGGGUCAGAAGUGAUUUUCUUUUGUAUGGAGCUAGGGGUUCAGUGCUACUGGUUUCUUUGGUGGUUAUCUACUUUUUGUUACCCUUUCAUUUCUGUCGGUGUUUUCUGAUCAUCAAUUUGGUUACUAAUUGUAGUGUUUACAUAAUAAUUUGAUCAUUUGGAAGAUUCACAUGGACAAAUAUGAAUAAUGUUUAAACAGUUUCUUCUUGGACCUGAUUCUGGUGGUUCUUUAUGCGUGGGUAGCUUGAGAUGUUAAAUCGAUGUAAUUUUUAAUUGGCUUCAGGAUACGAGAUUCAGCUGUGUAUCUAUUUUUCAUGGUUCUUUCAACUCUUUUUGGUUGACAUCGGUAUGAAUUAAACUAAAUCUGGAGGGUUCUAUCUUGUCUUAAGGUUUUGUUUCUGUCUUCUGUUGGAGAUGUGGUCUGAGUUUGAACGUAAGGGGGUUUUUUUUGUAUCUCAAUCAACUUGCAGUUUUUAUUUUUUUAAUAAUGGUAAAUCCUGAGUUUGGCAGUGUUGAUUUCCAGGAUCCAAUUAUCUUUUUGGGGCAUGUGAAGAGAAUAAUGUUACGAUUAAGUCAUCAUCAAAGAGUCAUCAGGGCAGUUCUUUUUCAGCCAUGUUCAAUACAUUGUGCUUCUCCAGCUUUUGGAAAGUGUUACUACAUUCUGAGCUGGUAUAUCAUCUGUGAUUUGUGAAAAUUUUACUCGAGGCUUGCUUUCUUCUGAGGGGUUGUUUUUCUUCUGUUGAGAAUGUGAAGUAAAAGCUAACGGGCCAUUCUUUUUCAAGUAAUGGUAAAAAGUUUAUGAUUUUAAUUGAUGGCAUCUAGAAGUAUAACUUCUGUUUAGUGAAAUCCAUGAGGCGUCUGAUUUAAUAGUUAUGAAGACCAAUGCCAAUGUUCCUUUUGCUAUCUUGGUUGCUCAUUUUAGAUGGCUGAGUUAGGUAUAGAAAAACUUCAGCUUUUUGUUCUGGAUUCGAGCUGGUGACAUUGUGGGUUGGGACUUCAGUUUCAGGAGGGAUCUCUCUUCCUGAGGUUUGACUGUUGUGCUGGACAUACGAGUUGGAUAAUGAAUGGACAAAUGGUUAUAAUUCCUAGUCUUGCGAAAGAGACUACUUGCAUUUGUUCCAUUUCAAUGUUUGGUGUCUGCAGCUAUUGUUGUCUAGUUUUUGGCCUAUUUCUGAUUCCUGGUCUGUUCACUGGAUCUUCCUCAUGUGUUAUGCUUAGUUCGAGAUGGUGAUGGCAAGGUUGUGUGCAGUUCACAUUUGAUAUGGAAUAAGGC